rnacentral:rRNA from 1 species
UACGUAGGGAGCAAGCGUUGUCCGGAUUUAUUGGGCGUAAAGAGCUCGUAGGCGGUUCGGUAAGUCGGGUGUGAAAACUCUAGGCUCAACCUGGAGAGGCCACCCGAUACUGCUGUGACUUGAGUCUGGUAGGGGAGCACGGAAUUCCUGGUGUAGCGGUGAAAUGCACAGAUAUCAGGAGGAACACCGGUGGCGAAGGCGGUGCUCUGGGCCAGUACUGACGCUGAGGAGCGAAAGCGUGGGUAGCGAACGGG